CCACCAGUUGAUUUAAAAGAAAAAAGGUUUUCACCGGAGUAGCCCUUUAAGCGAUUGGUGGUUGUGCAACUUCUAAAAUCACCUUUUUUCUCAGCUGAGGUGCUCAAGUGCCACAGCCUCCCGUUUGCCUGCCCUCACCUUCCAACCCCUUCUUGUUUGAUGCUUACAAUUAAGGAAGUGUGGGAAGGUGAGGGUGAGCAAGGAGCCGUGACAGACUGUGGCACUCAUACAGCAUUUUAAUAAGUUUGGUAACUACCAUAGUUAUUAUAGAGAGACCGAUGGUUGGAGGGUGAAUAUACGACAAAAACUAAUAGACCACCAAGGAUGGUCCAAAAAUAGCCAGGAGCAUCUAGUACCAUUGAUUCCUAGACAGUUGUAAGCUCUAAGUCCUUGCGCAUCGGGUUGCUGCGCAGCCUCCGUGCGCAGGCGCAGUGAUUGUGAACAGUAUUAGAAUGAUAAACACAUCGCACAGCCGUUAGUGCGCAGUGUAGUGUGCGCAUACGGACCGCACGCAUAUACACAUGCGCAUAGCUCCCCCGGGGCUACGAUAACAUCCAAGAUCUCGUGCAGCACCAUGUGCGCAAUGUUUACAUAUGACGUACGCAUCGGAUAUCCGCCUCUCUCGCGUAUCGGGUCUGCACAAGUGGCAGUUCCCGAUAGGCUGUGAGAAUCUACUCACAUCAUUUGUUUAUGGAAGUGCUAAUAAUAUAUCAUACUAUUAAGAUUGGAUAGAGAAAAUUUGAGGCUGCAGGAAGGGAUCCAGGAUUGGACAGGCUAGACAUGACAUCAUUGUAAAAGGUGAUAAAUACACAGGUCGGCGUUUUUGGAUGCCAUUGCCCACAUGCCUCUUGACAAAGCCACUUAAGUGGUGAAACGUUGAGGGGGGCAUUGUCCACUGGUUUUUAAACUGCUGUGUGCUCUAACCUAUGCUAGUGGAUCAGGAGCAUAGCUAUUCAAAUGCUCCCCACAAAGUGAACAUGUUUAAAGGAGCCCUUAGAGCCCUUAUCAUUUGAAAACAGAUGCACACAGCGCUUUUAAAUGUGUUUUUCAUCUUAUGAUUUUUGACACUAAGUGCACAGUUAUUGAUAUUAUUUUUUCAAGUGGACCCUAUUUAAUAAAGUCCUUUUAAUUGAUGAUUGGGACCCUAGGGUAUUUUUGGACCACCCUUGGUGGUCUAUUAGUUUUUGGCAACUACCAUAUGCACCAAGAUAGAUGCUGUUUAUUUUAAUACAAUAACACCUAUCCCACCGUGUCUGACAGAUUCCCUGUUUUUUGGUGUAAAAAUUGUGCCGAUUCAUGUUUGUAUAACAUACACACUCCAUCCCAUCACAGUUCAGGGCUUUACUGAGGGGAAAGCUACUUUUUUACUUUUAUGUAAAUAAAACUUAAAGGGGUAGUCCUUUUGGACAAUCUUUUGCUGCAGCACAUUUCUUCUGUGGCGGUUACAUGAAAGGGGUCCUUCUUCCCUAAUAGGAAACAUGAACAAGUGUUCUUCAAAUGAGAAAAUCACCUUUUAUCAUUGCAUAUUGAAACAUCAUGUAUCUGUGCAGUAUGUGUAGUAUAAAGGCUAAACACCUAUUCUGAAAAUAUGCUACUCAACCAGCUGUAUGGUUAGUAACAUGAAAAAUCUUUAAAGGAGUAGUCCAGUGGUGACUCAGGGAUAAGUUUUUCACCACUGGACUACCCCUUUAAUAAGCCCUUUCUAAUAUGACCUAGGGAAAUAAUUGAAAUCAUUUAAAAAGCAAAGUGCAACUUUAGAGUCUUAAAUAGUUAUGUCUGUUAUUAAAUUCCUCUGGCAAUAUCAGAUGGUUGUUAGGGUUAAGCAUGUCAGGCCAAUGUGGACUAUAACAUGCUGUUGUCAAUCAUACAAUCUUAAUGUCAAGUUUACAAUCUCUGAAACAGAAAUGUUUUCAUUCACUGAUAAAGUUUCCUUUUAAAUGCCAAGAAAUUAGUAUACAGGAAAGUUGCAGAGUAUUUCAUGAUACAACAGAUAAGCUUCAUUUACAUUAAAAAAAAAACCACAAACCAUUUUUAAAAAGGAAUGCCUGCCCUUCUGCUCCACGGUAGGUUUCUGUCCUCCCUGAGCUCGCCUUAGGGGUUUUAGGGAUAUUUAGUAUUUAUGAAUGUAAAAGAGCAAGUAAAAUUUCAGUUUUGUAAAAUCUUAAAUAUAACACGUUUGUUAUUUUGUUAUGCAUAUAUUUGUGUUAUUUUUACAGUACAUUUACAAUUUUUGCAGUAUUACUAUUAUCGGCAAAGUUCAGCAGCUCACCAGUAGUGUUAUAUAUAACUUAUGAAGUAUAAGCAUAACAAUAUGAAUACAAUCUGAAUACAUGUGUAAUAUAAAUCAUGCCACAAUAGCUAUUUUUUUAAAUAAAUUUACCUGGUAAGGUUUUACAGCAACAUUAUAUUGAUAGAGUGAACAAAGCAAUAAAACUGUAAUUCUUUGUGAAUUCCAUAACUAGAAUGAAAUGACAUGUUUUUCACAAUUGUACUGCUAUAUGUAUUAUUUAACUAUACUUCAGAAUAAAAAAUAAAACCUC